UUCAUCGAUUUUUUUUGCCCUACUUUCUAUCUCUCUCGGGCGAUUUGUGCGAUGGCGGAAUCCGAUAAAUCACAGGGUGAUGCAUUGUUUUCCGAUGAAUCCUAUGAUGGAGAGUGAAAUUAAAGGUGAAAUUAUGGUGGGUGAGAGGUAUUUCAUCCGGAACCCUAGAAUUUGUGAUCUUCAACGGGAAAAAUGACUUCAACUCCGUCUGCCGGUCGUGAGCUCCCGAAUCCGCCGUCCGACGGCUUUUCCAAUCUCCGAUUUUCCAUAACAGUAACUCCUCGUUUCUUCAUGGGAUAAGCGUGUGAGAUUGUAUGAUGUGAGCACCAAUUCGUUGAAAGGGGAGUUCUUACAUGGCGGAGCAGUGCUCGAUUGCUGUCCGACGGUGCUCUCUCUUAUCUCUACUCCCUGCUUUUUUGUGUGGUUUAGGCUUUGUAGUUUGAAAUGAGGUUUUUGUGGUGAUGAAGAACAAUAUUAUCCAAGUUAGCCAGUUUUGAAGCGAGAUUCUUUUGUGAAUUUGGAUUUCUUUAGUCCUAAACAUUUAAUCUUACAGUACUGAAAUAAAAUGUCUAUACAGUUUGCAAGCUAAUCUCAGUGUUGUGAAGAGACUGGUUGGUAUAAGAAUGUUUCCACUCAGGCUAAUAAAAUGUCUACUCUUCACUUGGUCCUCCGUCUCUGUGGUGGUUUCUAAAUCUCGUCUCUCUUAUGGUUUAAGAAGUUCAUGUCUCGUUUGUUUUAAAACUUUGGUGGUUUGUGUUUUUGGGGCCUUGUAAAGCUCAUUAGAAAUAAUUGAUGAACUAUGUUUCCAUUCUUAUCUCCUCUGUUCUUUUUAAUGACAAAUCGAACUUCUUCUCUACUGGAAUUAUAUCCUACUUGUCUCUUUAUCAUCGUUGGUUUUUACAUGAUCUGUGCUUGUUUUGUUUAAUAAGUCUGAAAUGUGGCUCGACUCUGUU